rnacentral:rRNA from 1 species
GUGGGGAAUCUUCCGCAAUGGACGAAAGUCUGACGGAGCAACGCCGCGUGAGUGAAGAAGGUUUUCGGAUCGUAAAGCUCUUUCGUUAGGGACGAACGUGCUCUUUGUGAAUAAUGAGGAGUAAUGACGGUACCUAAAUAAGAAGCCACGGCUAACUACGUGCCAGCAGCCGCGGUAAUACGUAGGUGGCAAGCGUUGUCCGGAAUUAUUGGGCGUAAAGCGCGCGCAGGCGGGAUAUCAAGUCUGUCUUAAAAGUGCGAGGCUCAACCUCGUGAGGGGAAAGAAACUGGUAUUCUUGAGUGUCGGAGAGGAAAGUGGAAUUCCAAGUGUAGCGGUGAAAUGCGUAGAGAUUUGGAAGAACACCAGUGGCGAAGGCGACUUUCUGGACGAUGUCUGACGCUGAGGCGCGAAAGCUAGGGGAGCGAACGGGAUUAGAUACCCGUGUAGUCC